GACUUAGCGCUUGAUUGGUUUUC
rnacentral:siRNA from 1 species